ensembl:lncRNA
AGGGUAUCUGUGUCAUUUCAUACAAAGCAAAGAUGGAGAACUGAGAGCCUCUUCACCUCAGCACCUCUAUGGAUUCGUGAAAUUCUUAGUAUUGUCUUUAUAGGGCCACUCUUCUUGAGGUCAGUAGUGUGGUGUCAGUCUCCUAAGUUUUGUGCCACCAGGGGGCGCUGCCCAGCUGGUUUCUAUCCAGCUUCUCGAGAUUGCUGAGGGGAAUCCAGAGUACUGGGAGUGCUGGGAAAAGACAGGUUUUUGCUUAGGGAUGUGUGCAGCUCGCCUCAUCCUGCAGACUGUGGCCCGGCAGGCUGAGAAUGCAGUCACAGGCACUCUUCCCAUAGGUUAGGUUACUUACAUUUCUCUUCUGUUCCUUCAAGCGCCCUUCCACACUGAGGAGGCAGAUAAGGAAGGGACACUUGCCUGUUGCCAACUCCAGAUGCUCAAGUUGACCAGAAGGAGAGGUGGCAGAGUGAGGGGCUGGAAGAUAUAUCCAGCCUAGGUGCCAUUCCUGUCUCUGCUCCGUCUCCUUCCAUCCCAGGGGUCUGCAGUGGUCUUUCCCUUCUCUUGGGGAUAUCAGGAAAGGGCUGGGAUUCAGCUUUUAUGGGAAGCCCUUUGUAUUCAACCAAAGACCUGCUUCCCGAGAAUACUCACUGCCUCUUUAAGAAUGAUAUCCUACCAUGUGGAAGCUUCUAACACACUCCAACUGCCAUGGGCAACCCAGUCUGCAACUCUGCCCCACUCUGGGUAGAUCCUCAGACACAGCUUCACCACAUCAGCGUGUCCGGAGCCACCAUUCACUGACUUUGAGCAUCAUUCAAAUACUAUAUGCAAGCCUCAUUUAAUCCUCUUAAUGACCACGCCCCUCAAGGAAGAAGAAGAAUGCUGGUAAACUCAGUGAGGAGAGAAACCCUUUGUGACUCGACUCGGGGGCAGGUCUUCGGAGAGGACCUCCUGGUUGGCCUCUUUUUCUUUAGUGGUGUCUCCAGUGGAAUGGAGGACUGGGGAUCUGGAGAGUGGGCUCUGCGAUUAUAUCCACAUCCUAGCCACAAGGAGAAGGAGGAGCACAGGGGUUACAGGACUGGGCCGAGGUCACUCGGUAAAGGAUUAGGCUGAGCUCUGGAACUAAGAACUUCGCUUCCUUGAGGAGCCGACCUGCCUUGGCCAAUACCAUUAGCAUUAGCACAGCUACUGUUGAGCGGGCACCCCCAUGAGUCUAGUGCUUGAAGUCUUGUGUGACAAGCAUGGAUGUUCUCCCGACUUCUCAUUUCACAGAUGAGUAAAUCUGGGUUUAGCAGGGCGCCUCGGGUGAGAUGACUUCAGAUCUUCACAGAUGUUAGGUCUCCUAAACCAGAAACUUCCACUCUCCUCUCCCUCCUGUGUACUUUGGUGCCUCAGUUUCCCAGUGUCAGUGUGUCCUCUUCUGUUUCUAGGACCAGUGAGAGAAAGAAGGGAGAAGGCCUUGUAGUGCGAUGACAAUGACCAGCCACUCUGGGGUUCUCUCCCACUUACCUUCCCCUCCCAGCAGAAGUCACAGCUCUGGGAUUUCUCCCUGUGUUGGCCAGUUUGGGUGGGAGGGAGACGGGAAGGUUCUGGGUGGGGAAGGUCGGCGCAGCGUCAACCCCCAGCCAAACAGGGCAGGGCAGUGAAGGGCCAGAGCGGUCAACGGCCACGUGCUCAGGACAGUAGUGGAGGGAGCCGACUGUCUUUGGGGAGAGGAGGCCGAGAGCACGCGGACAAAGGAGGCGGCCCUCAGCCCAGCUGUUUUGAAAAAUGCUUCCUGUUUCUUUAAAGGCGCUCGCGGCUCGGGCGGCUUGGGCUGGGGAGGCGGCAGCAGCAGCGGCGGCGGCGGGAG